UACGUAGGGUGCAAGCGUUGUCCGGAAUUAUUGGGCGUAAAGAGCUCGUAGGCGGCUUGUCGCGUCGGCUGUGAAAACCUAGGGCUCAACCCUGGGCCUGCAGCCGAUACGGGCAAGCUAGAAUUCGGUAGGGGAGACUGGAAUUCCUGGUGUAGCGGUGAAAUGCGCAGAUAUCAGGAGGGACACCGGUGGCGAAGGCGGUUCUCUGGGACGGUACUGACGCUGAGACGCGAAAGCGUGGGGAGCGAACAGG
rnacentral:rRNA from 1 species